GACAGAGGGUGCAAACGUUGCUCGGAAUCACUGGGCGUAAAGGGCGUGUAGGCGGGAAGGAUAGUCAGAUGUGAAAGCCCUGGGCUCAACCCAGGAACUGCAUUUGAAACUCCCUUUCUUGAGUGUCGGAGAGGAAAGCGGAAUUCCUGGUGUAGAGGUGAAAUUCGUAGAUAUCAGAAGGAACACCGGUGGCGAAGGCGGCUUUCUGGACGACAACUGACGCUGAGACGCGAAAGCGUGGGGAGCAAACAGG
rnacentral:rRNA from 1 species